rnacentral:misc_RNA from 1 species
AAGUCGUAACAAGGUUUCCGUAGGUGAACCUGCGGAAGGAUCAUUUCUGGUACUCCAACAAACUUGGGGCGGUUAAACGCUCACAAGUGUUAACAACACACACACUCUUAUGAACAAGAAAUUUUUCAGUGUUUUUAUAUAAAUUAAAACUAAACUUUCAACAACGGAUCUCUAGGCUCUU